GAUGAAGAACGUAGCGAAAUGCGAUACUUGGUGUGAAUUGCAGAAUCCCGUGAACCAUCGAGUCUUUGAACGCAAGUUGCGCCCGAAGCCGUCAGGCCGAGGGCACGCCUGCCUGGGCGUCACACGCCGUUGCCCCCCCGCGCCCCGCACCCAACUCUUUGGGAGCGACCGCGGGGCGGGCUGAUGAUGGCCUCCCGUGCGCUCCGCCGCGCGGUUGGCCCAAAUACCGAGUCCCCGGCGACGUGCGCCACGCCGAUCGGUGGUUGAGAGCCCUCUGUCGCAAGUCGUGCGCGCCCGUCGCGUCACGCGGGCUCGCAUAGCGCCUCGCGCCGCACCCGGUGCGGAGCUUUCAACGCGACCCCAGGUCAGGCGGGGUUACCCGCUGAAUUUAAGCAUAUCAAUAAGCGGAGGA
rnacentral:misc_RNA from 1 species